rnacentral:misc_RNA from 1 species
GCUGAGCGUGUUGUUGGGCAUGGAUCAUUUGGAGUUGUUUUCCAGGCAAAGUGCUUGGAGACUGGUGAAAGUGUUGCUAUAAAGAAAGUUCUUCAAGAUAAGAGGUAUAAGAACCGUGAACUGCAAACCAUGCGUCUUCUUGACCACCCAAAUGUUGUCUUGUUAAAGCAUUGUUUCUUUUCAACAACUGAGAAGGAUGAACUUUACCUUAAUUUGGUUCUUGAGUAUGUCCC